rnacentral:misc_RNA from 1 species
GAUGAAGAACGCAGUGAAAUGCGAUAAGUAAUGUGAAUUGCAGAAUUCAGUGAAUCAUCGAAUCUUUGAACGCACAUUGCGCCCGCUAGUAUUCUGGCGGGCAUGCCUGUCCGAGCGUCAUUUCAACCCUCAAGCCCCCGGGCUUGGUGUUGGGGAUCGGCGAGCCUCCGCGCCCGCCGUCCCCUAAAUCUAGUGGCGGUCUCGCUGUAGCUUCCUCUGCGUAGUAGCACACCUCGCACUGGGAAACAGCGCGGCCACGCCGUUAAGCCCCCAACUUCUGAACGUUUGACCUCGGAUCAGGUAGGAAUACCCGCUGAACUUAAGCAUAUCAAUAAGCGGAGGA